GUCACGAUAUCUAAGUCACUCAAGCGAGUAGUGAAUGUUGUUGCAGUAGGAAUAGAACAAUCAGCUUUAUGUGGUUAAACAUAAUGUAAAGAAACACAUUUGACAGGGAUUAAACGGGACAUAAAUAAUUUGUUGAAUAUCCACAAAAAGAAGCAUUUUCGUAUGUGACCAAUCUAGACGUGUACGUUGUCAGUGGGGUCGUCAGUGGGGUAGUUACUCUAACUCUCGUGGUUCUUGGUGUGCAACGCCUCUGUAGAGGUGGAAGAUGCCGGAGACCCCUAAAUCCUAGAGAAAUAGUAAGCCUCCCAAUGGAGUCUGUUAACAUAGCACACCCAGAGCAAAUGGGUCUCGAUCUGCAGGCGACAAACGUAAUACCAGCCAGACCAACUGACAGCGUUCAUCUUUACGAAAGCAUUCCACCAUCACCUAUUGCGGAUAUAUCGUUUAGUGAUUUUGCUGAGGAUACUGAGUUUGUAGAAGAGAUACACAUUGCGGACGCAGGUUGCUAUCAAAGUCUGGAUCAAAAUACUCUUGGUGAAUCGACAUACAACGUCACUUUGUAAGAAACAAAUGUUUGUGAAGAAACACUUUACAUCAAUUUGAAGAUCUGAUCGAAAUACUCGUAACGAUACGAAGCAUGGCGGAUAUAUGCAGGUUGCACCCAAAUGCUAAGAAAAGGACGACACCUGAUAGCAAUAUGUAGAUGUCAUUUAAAUACCCGUGAAGAUACGAAAGCUAGCAUUAUUUGCAGAUCGGAUAGCGUUUACUCAGAAAAUAUUAAAAAACAACAACAUGAAUUUGCAGAUUCGAGUGUAAUAUUCUGGCAGAUACGACACUUGAUGUCAAGUUUUGGCAAAAUACUAAAAAAUAUACGACACCCGACAUCAUUUUGCAUAUUUGACUGUAUGCUCAUACGACGUGGAUCGUAUGUUUUGAUCUAUAUGGAUUGUGUGAUUUAAUCGAGAUAAUUCAGAUUCAAUCGACACUUGACACUCAUUUUGCUGAUUUGAUCUCAAUACUCAGAGUUCAUUAAAGAGACUGUUCCAACAUUAACAUUGAAUUAUAUGAGACAAGACGAACACAUUAUACGCAUACAAAUACAUACUUGUGUCUAUUGCAGUCUGUAGUAUUUGUUAAUAGUAAACAUGAUAAAAGAAUAUAUGUCACAAUAAAAUUAAUCUCGGCAUCGAACCCAUGAGGCCGAAAUGUUUUUCGAAUGACAAUUUGUCAAUGUAUCGAAAAAUAAGAUAUUAACCGUUUUUGCAGAAUGUUAAAAUACUUUUAAUGUAAUUCAUGUAAG